CGCCAAGGGCCGCGCUGGGCAGGACGCUCUCCCCGGACGCGGCUCCGUGGGCGCGAAAGGGCCGCGACCCCCGAGACCGGGGCCACAGGGUGGUCCCCAGGAAAGGAGGAAGUUCCAGGUUCCCUGCCCCACCCAAGGGAGGGUGGAGCUGAGCAGGAAGAGGAGAAGCAGCAGAAGAGACUGAGGAAGGAAGGAAGCAGGAUGGAGCCAGGAGACCUGGAGGAGGCGCAUGGAGCCUAGAGACAUGUGAAGAAACUGCGCUUGUCUUUUGGUCGUGGACUGGGUGACACAGAUGUGGGUGAGACCCGUGGGGAGGUGACAAUGGCAGCUUUUAUCUUGAUGUUGAUUUUGCUCUUUUCCUUCCGGGCUUGUCUGGUUGUUUCUUUUCUGUGGGUCCCCACUGGAAGAUGCUUUAGACUUGUGGCAGGCUUUGGGGCCUUGCUCUGGGCCGAUCCCAUAUGGAUGGAGUUUUACCCACGAGGGGACGGGUAACUUUGGGUGCUUCAUUUAGAAACUAGACUCUUUGCCUUACCUGUAUUGUUUCCUAGUUUUAUUAAAGUUCCUUCCCAUUAAAGUCUCAUAUGUUUUGUGUUGAUGCGGCGGAUGGCAGAACCCAUUUAGAAUAGGCAGGUUUGCGGGGCUUGGGCUGCCCCUCUCCUUGUCCUAUAACAGGAUGUCACUCAGCAGUGUGAAGGCAAGACGAGCCCACAUUUUGGAUGCGGCUGGACUGUUGACUCUCCCUGCGGUGUCACAGCGCGCGCUCCCUGCAGGUGUUCUCACUCUGUUCUCCUCCCGCGUGAGGGGCCCAGAGGUGAUCUUUUUCCAAAGUCCGAGCCCUGAGCCAUUGGGCGACAGAGUACCCAUGGCCCCAGCAGGGACACAUUUGCAACUUGAAGCAAGCAGGGAGUAGAGAAGCAGGAGACUUCUAAGAGCUCACCUGGUCAUCUGGGGGGCACAAGUCAGGCUCCUGGCCAGUCACUCCCUGAAACUUUUAGUCUACCCCCAGGCCUUGUCCCAACAUAACUCCAGCUAAUGAGCAGGUCACAGUGGGCUGGGGCAGGCGGGCUGGGGCAGAAGGCACAGGUAGGUCUGUUGCAAGCUCCAGGACUCCCAGCCUUUCACCAACAGUGUCUGCCGCAGCCAGACCCUAAAAUAUCCACAAGUCAUUAAACA